UAGGGAAUCUUCCGCAAUGGGCGAAAGCCUGACGGAGCAACGCCGCGUGAGUGAUGAAGGUCUUCGGAUCGUAAAACUCUGUUAUUAGGGAAGAACAAAUGUGUAAGUAACUAUGCACGUCUUGACGGUACCUAAUCAGAAAGCCACGGCUAACUACGUGCCAGAAGCCGCGGUAAUACGUAGGUGGCAAGCGUUAUCCGGAAUUAUUGGGCGUAAAGCGCGCGUAGGCGGUUUUUUAAGUCUGAUGUGAAAGCCCACGGCUCAACCGUGGAGGGUCAUUGGAAACUGGAAGACUUGAGUGCAGAAGAGGAAAGUGGAAUUCCAUGUGUAGCGGUGAAAUGCGCAGAGAUAUGGAGGAACACCAGUGGCGAAGGCGACUUUCUGGUCUGUAACUGACGCUGAUGUGCGAAAGCGUGGGGAUCAAACAGG
rnacentral:rRNA from 1 species